rnacentral:rRNA from 1 species
ACUGUGCUAAGGUAGCAUAAUCACUUGCCACUUAAUUGGUCGCUCGAAUAAAAGGCUGGACAAGAGGUUCCCUGUCUCCCUAGUUAUUGAAUAAUUUAAUUUUAAAGUAAAAAAUCUCUAAUCACCUGAAAGGACGAUAAGACCCUAGAAUCUUAAAUUCAAUUUUACUGGGAAGGUAAGGCUAAACCCUAACCUCACCUUAACUCCUUGUUUGAAACAUUUACCUACUAGAUCUAUCCCCAUUCAAGAUACUCUAGGGAUAACAGCGUAAUUAGCUUCUAGAGCUCUAAUCGAUAAGCUAGCUUACGACCUCGAUGUUGAAUUAUCUUCCCCUCUUUGAGAAGAAUCUCCGCUGGGAGGUCUGUUCGACCUUUAUAUAGAUACGUGAUCUGAG